rnacentral:tRNA from 1 species
CUGUGGCAAUAAGGGUUCUACCCCUGUGCGCGGAUUUACAAUCCGCCGCCUUUCUCGGCCAUAUUACC